rnacentral:snoRNA from 1 species
CACAGCCUCGUCAAAUUCGGUGCCCGCCUCUGCCGUGGUGGGGACCGGCCCAAGGGCUGCCACGGCGAUGUCUCUGCUCCACGUCCCUGCCGUGGGACAUCGGGGGAUCAAAAUAGGUUACGGACACUC